rnacentral:lncRNA from 1 species
AGAAACUACGAGGUAUUGGUGCACUUUGUUCAUAUGUAGGCAUGAGACUUUAAAAGUCUUGGCAAACACCAAAUCAUAAUAAAAAUGCUUCUUUUUCUAUCUCUCCAAUAUUUUAACAAACAACACCCUUAUGCAAACCAAAAUGUGUAUAUUUUCAAAGAGGUUCCCAUGGAGUACCAUGGAUGUUUAGGAUGCUAAUAACUUCCCUUUGCAUAACUAAC